UUGACCUAACAGGUGCUCGGAAAACGGAAACGAUCAGGCUUUGAGCUUGUUUAUUUUGAUUGUGUGUAUAUUUCCAAGUAUUCAUUUGGAAAUUUACUUGCCAAGUUCUGCAAUGUGUAGCUACACAGUCAAUGAGUAGAUAAAGACUUUGAAGAGAUCGUGACAAUCUUCAUUUUACGUUAAGGAGUGUGUGAAUGGCAGAAAAAUAAACACGAACAUGUCGGUAUACUAGUACUAGUACUGCUAGUACACGCAAAUACGCGGUGUCCAACGACCAUUCGACAUGGCUGAACAUGGCGCGCACAUCACGUCAGCUAGUGUGACUGAUCGACCAACGAUAUUUGAAGUUCUUGCUCAGGAGAGUCUGAUGGUGACCGUGAGACCUGCACUGAAACACGCAGUUAGGGUGGUUGCUGAAAAUCGUCCUGCAUUGUUUGGUUGGCUCCUGAGAAAUUAUGACGAAGGUUUCGCUUUCUUAGACUUCAUUGUUCAGCAUUACCACCUCCGGAAAUACAAUGGAUCUUUUGCUGAGAACUUCUAUGACUUGAAGCGUGUCCCAUCCGGAGACCCAUCUGAUAGAUUAUCUCGCAGACAUCACUGGCUUUCUGUCUUCUUACUGGUUGCAGUGCCUUACAUCAAGACUAAGCUAGACCAACUGUUUGAAGAUCUGCGACAUAAGUAUGGCACAGAUGGGAGAUCGGAGAUUAGAACACCCAGAGGACAGGUCAUCAGGGCAUUUCUGUCCAUGUAUCCAUACGCUCACAUGACCUGGGAGGGAACAUGCUUGGUGUACCAGGUGAGCUACAUGCUCGGGAAAGGGGCGUGGCACUCCCCCUUCCUACACCUGUCUGGCACUCGUCUGCGACACCUCGAUGAAUUUGACCUUGACAGGAGUGUGGGGACAGUCAACAGUAACUGGAGCAAGUCUAGUGUGUCUGGGAAACUAGGUCUGGCGUUGAAGAUGUGUGGAGGUAUGGCAGCAAUGGUGUUGUCGUCAGGACUGUCAGUCGGCAUGUUCUUCCUACAGUUCCUGGACUGGUGGUAUGCCAGUGACAGCAAGGCUGCCUCCCUCACUGCACUGCCCAUCCCCGACCCUCCACGGGGUGACCACAAUCUAGAUGGAAGAGGGUUGUCUCCCUUGGUUUGCCCGAUCUGUGGAAGAACCAGAACCAACGACACUGCCUUGUCCGUAUCAGGGUAUGUGUUUUGCUACCCAUGUAUCCUUGGUUACGUGAAACAACAUGGCCAGUGCCCAGUGACUCAGUUCCCCGCCACGCCCGACCACCUCAUAAAGAUCUUUGUGCAGGACUCCUAACACUGGGGUCUGUGUGAGUGAGAUGUGUGGUGUGUGUGUGAGACCAGCACUCACACCAGAGACGUGAUGUAAGUGAAUGAGAGGCAUGAGGUGUGCGAGUGAGAUCUGUGUCUGAGCAUGUGAGAUGUGUGUACACAGUGUCUGAGACCAGCAGUCAGUGUGAGACAUUUCAUGUUUGUGAGUGAGACAUGAGGUGUAUGUGAGACCAACAGUCAGUGUGAGACAUUUGGUGUUUGUGAGUGAGACAUGCGAGAUCUGUGUAUGAGACAUGAGGUGUGUGUGAGACCAGCAGUUAGUGUGAGACAAUUGGUGUUUGUGAGUGAGACAUGUGAGAUCUGUGUAUGAGACAUGUGAGGUGUGUGUUGGACCAGCAGUCGGUAUGGGUGAGACUAACCAAGUGGGAGAUGGGUGCAGGUGAAUUACCAACCCUGCAGGAAGUUUAGGACCACAAGUGGACUGUAUCAACAAUCUUACUUACUCCAGUGAACUUGAAACAAGGAAUGUUUGUGUACAUCUUUACUCAGGCAAAUUUGUUCUCAAGACAGCUUGUGUAAAACCAAACACUCUAGAUGAGAGAUGGAGCUGAUGUAUAUGAGACGUGCAAAAUAAUACAUCUUGAAAAACUCUUUCGGUUAGAACAUUUUGACAAAGAUUGGUGGAUUGCACGAAACAAACCUUUUUUUAGUUGCCUAUCUUGCUCAAUGGUCAAGAUAAGUUUGGUGAAAGGGUUAAGAACUUUGAAGCAUGUGAUUGGUUAAUGUAUGUGUUGUUUUGUUUGUUGUUAUGGCAUUUCUUAAUCGUGACUAUUAAACUGACUUGUUAUCGAUAGAA
rnacentral:misc_RNA from 1 species